GGGCUCACUUUGGUAGCACAUGUACUAAAAUUGGAAUGGCACAGAGAGAGUUAACUUGGCCCCUUUGUAAGCAUGACACACAAAUUCAUGAAGUGUCCCAUGCCUUA
ensembl:snRNA U6 U6 spliceosomal RNA